AAGGGAGACCUAAUUCAGGUAUGGGACGAAAAAAAAGUAGUCGCUACCAAGAAUCAAUCCCGAAAGGUCGGAGCGAGGCGAAAUUGGCUUUCAAACUAGGUUCUGGGUUCACACAAGACCUGAAUCAGGAACAAGGGCUAUUAGCUCAGGUGGUUAGAGCGCACCCCUGAUAAGGGUGAGGUCCCUGGUUCGAGUCCAGGAUGGCCCACCUGCACAGGUGGCAAAAACAAGAGAAGCUCCGAAUCAGCACCUUAUCUUACUUAUACAGUAAGAGAGAAUGCUGGCUCUGAGUUCAGAGUUCAGAGGAACCUUGAAAACUGCAUAGAGCUAGGUGAAAAAGCCAAAAAAGAAGACCGCAA
rnacentral:tRNA from 1 species